GAUGAACGCUAGCGGGAGGCCUAACACAUGCAAGCCGAGCGGUAUUGUUUCUUCGGAAAUGAGAGAGCGGCGUACGGGUGCGUAACACGUGUGCAACCUGCCUUUAUCUGGGGGAUAGCCUUUCGAAAGGAAGAUUAAUACUCCAUAAUAUAUUGAACGGCAUCGUUUAAUAUUGAAAGCUCCGGCGGAUAGAGAUGGGCACGCGCAAGAUUAGCUAGUUGGUGAGGUAACGGCUCACCAAGGCGAUGAUCUUUAGGGGGCCUGAGAGGGUGAUCCCCCACACUGGUACUGGGCCCCGACCCUGACCCCUACGGCGGGCGCCAUUGAGGAUAUUGGGUCACGGGGUGCAAACCUGAACCAGCCCACCCGCCUAGAGGGCGAUCCCCCUUUGGUUUUUAACCUUCUUUUUUAUAGGGAAAAACCAGCCCCCGAGGGGGAAGCCGCGGGUACUAAUCAAAUAAGCCCCGGCCACCCCCUU
rnacentral:rRNA from 1 species